GCGUGCGAUCAUACCAGCACUAAUACACCGAAUCCCAUCAGAACUCUAAUGUUAAGCGUGCUUGGGCGAGAGUAGUACUAGGAUAGGUGACCCCCCGGGAAUUUCUCGUGUUACACCUC